GGUAAAAUGGCUGAGUUUAGGUAAUAAAUUGUAAAUUUAUUAAGGAGAUGUUUCUCUUUUACCA
rnacentral:tRNA from 1 species